UACAGAGGUCCCAAGCGUUGUUCGGAUUCACUGGGCGUAAAGGGUGCGUAGGCGGUCGGGUAAGUCUGAUGUGAAAUCUCACAGCUUAACUGUGAAACUGCAUUGGAUACUAUCCGGCUAGAGGAAUGGAGGGGAGACUGGAAUGCUUGGUGUAGCAGUGAAAUGCGUAGAUAUCAAGUGGAACACCAGUGGCGAAGGCGAGUCUCUGGACAUUUCCUGACGCUGAGGCACGAAAGCCAGGGGAGCAAACGGG
rnacentral:rRNA from 1 species